rnacentral:rRNA from 1 species
GCCUACAGUUAUACCACACUGAACAUGCCCGAUCUUGUCAGAUCUCAGAAGCUAAGCAGAGUCAGGCCUGGUUAGUACCUGGAGUCCCCUUAGGCAAAGCUCUACUGUCUUCU